rnacentral:tRNA from 1 species
UCCUUUGUGGCUCAGAUGGUAAAGAAUCUGCCUGUAAUGCAGGAGACCUAGGUUCAAUCCCUGGGUUAGGAA